GAUGAACGCUGGGGCGUGCCUAAUACAUGCAAAGCCAGCGAACAGACGAGGAGCUUGCUUCUCUGACGUUUGCGGCGGACGGGUUGGUAACACGUGGAUAACCUACCUAUUAGACUGGGAUAACCUCGGGAAACCGGGGCCAAUACCCGGUAAUAAUUUUCACCGGCUGGGUCAAUAAGGAAAGGCGGUUUUUUCGUCACCUAUAGAUGGAUCCGCGCCGCAUUAGCUAGUUGGUAAGGUAACGGCUUACCAAGGCGACGAUGCGUAGCCGACCUGAGAGGGUGAUCGGCCACACUGGAACUGAGACACGGUCCAGACUCCUACGGGAGGCAGCAGUAGGGAAUCUUCCGCAAUGGGCGAAAGCCUGACGGAGCAACGCCGCGUGAGUGAUGAAGGUCUUCGGAUCGUAAAACUCUGUUAUUAGGGAAGAACAAAUGUGUAAGUAACUAUGCACGUCUUGACGGUACCUAAUCAGAAAGCCACGGCUAACUACGUG
rnacentral:rRNA from 1 species